UACGGGGGGAGCAAGCGUUGUUCGGAUUUACUGGGCGUAAAGGGCGCGUAGGCGGUCAGCACAAGUCAGUUGUGAAAUCUCCGGGCUUAACUCGGAAAGGUCAACUGAUACUGUGCGACUAGAGUGCAGAAGGGGCAACUGGAAUUCUCGGUGUAGCGGUGAAAUGCGUAGAUAUCGAGAGGAACACCUGCGGCGAAGGCGGGUUGCUGGGCUGACACUGACGCUGAGGCGCGAAGCCAGGGAGCGAACGGG
rnacentral:rRNA from 1 species